AACGUAGGAACCGAGCGUUAUCCGAAUUUACUGGGCGUAAAGCGCGUGUAGGCGGUUCGAUAAGUUGGAUGUGAAAGCUCCCGGCUCAACUGGGAGAGGACGUUCAAUACUGUCGGACUAGAGGGCAGCAGAGGGAGGUGGAAUUCCCGGUGUAGUGGUGAAAUGCGUAGAUAUCGGGAGGAACACCAGAGGCGAAGGCGGCCUCCUGGGCUGCACCUGACGCUCAGACGCGAAAGCUAGGGUAGCAAACGGGAUUAGAUACCCCCGUA
rnacentral:rRNA from 1 species